rnacentral:rRNA from 1 species
UGAAUACGAGACGCUAAGGCGUCGAAGUAGUGUAUGUCAUACUUCCAAGAAAAGCUUGCACUGUCAUAGAUAAAAAACGCCUGUACCAUAACCGACACAGGUGGGUAGGUAGAGUAUACUAAGGGGCGCGAGAUAACUCUCUCUAAGGAACUCGGCAAAAUAACUCCGUAACUUCGGGAGAAGGAGUGCCUUAUUCGUAAGGUUGCAAUAACAAGAUCCAAGCAACUGUUUAUCAAAAACACAGGUCUCCGCUAAGUCGUAAGACGAUGUAUGGGGGCUGACGCCUGCCCAGUGCCAGAAGGUUAAAGAAGUUGGUUAGCAAUUGCGAAGCUGAUAACUGAAGCCCUGGUGAACGGCGGCCGUAACAAUAACGGUCCUAAGGUAGCGAAAUUCCUUGUCGGGUAAGUUCCGACCCGCACGAAAGGCGUAAUGAUUUGGAUACUGUCUCGGAGAGGGGCUCGGUGAAAUAGACUUGUCUGUGAAGAUGCGGACUACCUGCACCAGGACAGAAAGACCCUAUGAAGCUUUACUGUAACUUGAAAUUGAAAUUGGACUUUAUUCGCGCAGUAUAGGUGGGAGGCGUUGAUUAUAAUCUUGUGGGAUUAUUGGAGCCAUCAGUGAGAUACCACUCUUGUAAUGUUAGAUUUCUAACUUUGAAUCAUUAUCUGGUCAAAGAACAGUUUCAGGCGAGCAGUUUGACUGGGGCGGUCGCCUCCUAAACGGUAACGGAGGCGUACAAAGGUUUCCUCUGAACGGUUAGAAAUCGUAUCUAGAGUGUAAAGGCAUAAGGAAGCUUGACUGUGAGACCUACAAGUCGAGCAGGGACGAAAGUCGGUCUUAGUGAUCUGACGGUACUGAGUGGAAAGGCCGUCACUCAACGGAUAAAAGUUACUCUAGGAUAACAGGCUGAUCUCCCCCAAGAGUUCACAUCGACGGGGAGGUUUGGCACCUCGAUGUCGGCUCAUCGCAUCCUGGGGCGGUAGUACGUCCCAAGGGUUGGGCUGUUCGCCCAUGAAAGCGGUACGCGAGCUGGGUUCAGAACGUCGUGAGACAGUUCGGUCCAUAUCCGGUGUAGGCGUUAGAAUAUUGAGAGGAGCCUUCUUUAGUACGAGAGGACCGAGAAGGACAUACCUCUGGUGUACCAGUUAUCGUGCCAACGGUAAACGCUGGGUAGCUAUGUAUGGAGUGGAUAACCGCUGAAAGCAUCUAAGUGGGAAGCCCACCUCAAGAUAAGUAUUCUCA